rnacentral:rRNA from 1 species
AAAAAAUCUUCGUGAGCGAGUUGUUAGCCGCCCGUACCCUAAACCGACACAGGUGGAUAGGUAGAGAAUACCAAGGCGAUCGAGAGAAUCGUGGUGAAGGAACUCGGCAAAAUACCCCCGUAACUUCGGGAUAAGGGGGACCUGAUGCGUGACCGGAUUUACUCCGUGAGCGUUGAGGGUCGCAGAGACCAGGCCCAAGCGACUGUUUACUAAAAACACAGGUCCGUGCCAAGUUGAAAGACGAUGUAUACGGACUGACUCCUGCCCGGUGCUGGAAGGUUAAGGGGACGUGUUAGCGCAAGCGAAGCACUGAACUUAAGCCCCAGUAAACGGCGGUGGUAACUAUAACCAUCCUAAGGUAGCGAAAUUCCUUGUCGGGUAAGUUCCGACCUGCACGAAUGGAGUAACGAUUUGGGCGCUGUCUCCACCACGAACUCGGCGAAAUUGCAUUACGAGUAAAGAUGCUCGUUACGCGCAGCAGGACGGAAAGACCCCGGGACCUUUACUAUAGUUUGGUAUUGGUGAUCGGUACGACUUGUGUAGGAUAGGUGGGAGACUUUGAAGCAGGGACGCCAGUUCUUGUGGAGUCAUCGUUGAAAUACCACUCUGGUCGUUCUGGUUAUCUAACCUAGGUCCAUUAUCCGGAUCAGGGACAGUGCCUGAUGGGUAGUUUGACUGGGGCGGUUGCCUCCCAAAAUGUAACGGAGGCGCCCAAAGGUUCCCUCAGCCUGGUUGGCAAUCAGGUUUUGAGUGUAAGUGCACAAGGGAGCUUGACUGUGAGAGAGACAUCUCAAGCAGGGACGAAAGUCGGGACUAGUGAUCUGACGGUGGCACGUGGAAGCGCCGUCACUCAACGGAUAAAAGGUACCCCGGGGAUAACAGGCUGAUCUUGCCCGAGCGUCCAUAGCGACGGCAUGGUUUGGCACCUCGAUGUCGGCUCGUCGCAUCCUGGGGCUGGAGUCGGUCCCAAGGGUUGGGCUGUUCGCCCAUUAAAGCGGCACGCGAGCUGGGUUUAGAACGUCGUGAGACAGUUCGGUCCCUAUCCGCUGCGCGCGUAGGAAUCUUGAGAGAGGCUGUCCUUAGUACGAGAGGACCGGGACGGACAAACCUCUGGUGUGCCAGUUGUUCUGCCAAGAGCACGGCUGGUUGGCUACGUUUGGAAGAGAUAACCGCUGAAAGCAUCUAAGCGGGAAGCACGUCUCAAGAUGAGGGUUCCCACAGAGUUAAUCUGGUAAGGCCCCCGGAAGACCACCGGGUUGAUAGGUCGGAUGUGGAAGUGCAGCAAUGCAUGGAGCUGACCGAUACUAAUAGGCCGAGGGCUUGUUGGA